rnacentral:rRNA from 1 species
GAUGAACGCUAGCGGCGUGCCUAAUACAUGCAAGUCGAGCGAACGGACGAGAAGCUUGCUUCUCUGAUGUUAGCGGCGGACGGGUGAGUAACACGUGGAUAACCUACCUAUAAGACUGGGAUAACUUCGGGAAACCGGAGCUAAUACCGGAUAAUAUUUUGAACCGCAUGGUUCAAAAGUGAAAGACGGUCUUGCUGUCACUUAUAGAUGGAUCCGCGCUGCAUUAGCUAGUUGGUAAGGUAACGGCUUACCAAGGCAACGAUGCAUAGCCGACCUGAGAGGGUGAUCGGCCACACUGGACCUGAGACACGGUCCAGACUCCUACGGGAGGCAGCAGUAGGGAAUCUUCCGCAAUGGGCGAAAGCCUGACGGAGCAACGCCGCGUGAGUGAUGAAGGUCUUCGGUUCGUAAAACUCUGUUAUUAGGGAAGAUCAUAUGUGUAAGUAACUGUGCACAUCUUGACGGCACCUAAUCAGAAAGCCACGGCUAACUACGU